UGCGGGAAGGCCCGGGCGGAGCGCCCCGGCACCGGCGCGGCUCCCCGGGAAGGGGUCGCGGCACCAGGCUGGCGGAGCUCAGGAAGCGUCUGGGGAACGCUCUCCGGCGCACGGUGUGACCCCGGGGAGCCUGUGCAGGAGCAGGAGCUGGUCUCGAUGAUCCCGUGGGUCCCUCCCAGCUCGGCACGUCCCGUGACCCUGUGGGGACGCGGCCCAGGGGAGCUUGUCCUCGUCCCCACGGCCACCCCGAGAGCGGGGCCUGCGCGGGCCCCCAGCAGCAGGGGCUGGGCGAGGCGUGCAGGCUGCCCCACCCGCAGUGGCUGUGUGCUCCCUCCGCUUGGGACCGCCAGUCCAACCCCAUUUCUACGGGGUUGACACCGAAAGGCUCUUCAGUGCGCUUCCUGCUUACAGACAUCCACUCCCCAAGACGCAGCCUUUCUGCCUGCAGGAGACUUUGGACAGGGGCACUGCCUGUAAAGUCCUGCUGAACCGGCAGAAACACUGCACCCAUGCCAGUCUUGGCACACAUGCAGCAAGGUCAGAGGAGGCUUUUGAGGGGUCUGGAAAGGCUGUUGUUACAUCAUGGAAAAACAGGCCCUCUUUGUAAGAGGCGGAGCACUCCAACGUGGAGUACAGAGGGCUUUCCUGAAACAGGGAAAUCCCAGGGGAGCAGUGAGAUGUAGGUCCUGGCAUAUCCCCACCAGUUCAUGGGCUUGCCCUCGCAGCCAGCAAGUUGGUAGCUGGAAGCAGGAAUCACAGGAUCUUUUCCACUUGUUCCAGGGACAUGACUGGUACUUGGCUUGAUUGCCAGGGUUUACGAUGCCAAGUCGUGCCCCAGCACAAGGGAUCCCAGAGGAGGAGAGAGGGGAAUAGUUUUGUCCCUGCUUAAAGAUUUCAUAACUGCAAAACAGCCCAGAAUCAGCCCACCUGGCCCAGAGGAAGUCACGUCUCACUCUGUAAGCCAGGGACAUCCACUUACAACCCCUGUGUUACAGUUACAGCCCCAGGGGUUCUGCCUGCUUGGCCAAGAGAGCCUCUGGGAGCUUGCUCCUGGGUGAGGACGGCCAGGACCCACUGAAGGAUGGAGACGAAGGCUGGGGCUUGCCAGCUGGGAGAUGCGGCUCUGGUGGCUGCAGCGUCAGGGAAGAUGGGUCACAGCAGGAGGUGUCACCAGGGACAUCAGCAGGCUGCCCCAGCCCACCACACCUGGAUUCUGGUGACCAGCCUUGGCUCCAAGAGUUGUGUUCUUCCUGGGUCUGCUGACCAUCCAGCCCAGACUGCAGCACUAUGACCGGGCCAAUGUGGACACAGCCAGACGGAUGAAAGAGUGUGAGGAAUAUCUGCAUCAUGAGAUGAUUUGGCUGCUGCAGGUGAUAGAGGGGAAGAGGGGCACCAUGGAAGCCCCACUCCUUUCUGCAGUGCAGCAACAGUGGCUGUUUUAAGGUGCUGUAUCAGCCCUUGUCCUGGUCACUGUGAGCUGCUGGCUGGACAAAGGAAGCAUGCCUCUGCCAGCUGCAGGGAGCAGGAGAGCCCCAGCAGCAAGAAGGAGGACGAUGGCUAGAAGAAGUUCAAAGGUGCCCACAAUGGUAUUGUGAUCACCCCAUCCAUGACCAAUGGAAACAUUCAAGCUAAGGCUGGAUGGGGCUGUGAGUAACAUGAUUUAGUUGAGCGUGCCCCUCCUCAUUGUGGCAGUGAUCUUUAGCGAUCCCUUCUGACCCUAGCUAUUAUGUGAUUCUAAAGCAGGACCUGCCCAGCACUUGAAGCAUGGACCAGCGUGAUAGAAUCAAGACCAGUAAUUUUAUCAUCUUCUGAGGUAAUACUAUGAAGUUUACUAAAAUUAUGUUCCUGCCCAAUCUACAAAGACUAUAAACAUCAACAUAUGGAAGACAUCCUGCAACAAAGGCGUAACAGAACCCUGAUAACAAGUGUUUUUUAAUUUAUUUUCUUUUGCUCUGAAAGGCAAUAAACCUUGUCACCAACAACUGCUAAACCAAUGCAA